rnacentral:rRNA from 1 species
UACGGGGGGGCGAAGCGUUGUUCGGAAUUACUGGGCGUAAAGGGCUCGUAGGCGGCCAACUAAGUCGGAUGUGAAAUCCCCAGGCUUAACCUGGGAACUGCAUCCGAUACUGGAUGGCUUGAAUCCGGGAGAGGGAUGCAGAAUUCCAGGUGUAGCGGUGAAAUGCGUAGAUAUCUGGAGGAACACCGGUGGCGAAGGCGGGUCUCUGGGCCGAUACUGACGCUGAGGAGCGAAAGCGUGGGGAGCGAACAGG